ensembl:rRNA 5S_rRNA 5S ribosomal RNA
GCUUACGGCCAUACCACCCUGAGCACGGCCGAACUCGUCUGAUCUCCGAAGCUAAGCAGGGUCAGGCCUGGUUAGUACUUGGAUGGGAGACCGCCUGGGAAUACCAGGUGCUGUAAGCU